AUGCAAGUCGAACGAUGAAGUUCCUUCGGGAAUGGGAUUAGCGGCGAACGGGUGAGGAACACGUGAGAAACCCGCCUUUCAUCCUGGGAUAACACCGGGAAACCGGUGCUAAUACCGGAUACUCCAUCUUGGCGGCAUCGCCGAGCUGGGAAAAAUUUUGAUGAAAGAUGGUCUCGCGGCCUAUCAGCUAGUUGGUGAGGUAAAGGCUCACCAAGGCGACGACGGGUAGCCGGCCUGAGAGGGCGACCGGCCACACUGGGACUGAGACACGGCCCAGACUCC
rnacentral:rRNA from 1 species